rnacentral:rRNA from 1 species
AUUGAACGCUGGCGGCAGGCCUAACACAUGCAAGUCGAACGAGUGGCGGACGGGUGAGUAAUGUCUGGGAAACUGCCUGAUGGAGGGGUAUAACUACUGGAAACGGUAGCUAAUACCGCAUACCAUCAGAUGUGCCCAGAUGGGAUUAGCUUGUUGGUGGGGUAACGGCUCACCAGGGCGACGAGCCCUAGCUGGUCUGAGAGGAUGACAGGCGACACUGGAACUGAGACACGGUCCGAACUCCGACGGGAGGCAGAAGUGGGGAAUAUUGGAAAAUGGGCGCAAGCCGGAUGCAGCCAUGCCGCGUGUAUGAAGAAGGCAUUCGGGUUGUAAAGUACUUUCAGCGGGGAGGCGUUACCCGCAGAAGAAGCACCGGCUAACUCCGUGCCAGCAGCCGCGGUAAUUC